rnacentral:rRNA from 1 species
AAAUUGAAGAGUUUGAUCAUGGCUCAGAUUGAACGCUGGCGGCAGGCCUAACACAUGCAAGUCGAACGGUAACAGGAAGAAGCUUGCUUCUUUGCUGACGAGUGGCGGACGGGUGAGUAAUGUCUGGGAAACUGCCUGAUGGAGAGGGAUAACUACUGGAAACGGUAGCUAAUACCGCAUAACGUCGCAAGACCAAAGAGGGGGACCUUCGGGCCUCUUGCCAUCGGAUGUGCCCAGAUGGGAUUAGCUAGUAGGUGGGGUAACGGCUCACCUAGGCGACGAUCCCUAGCUGGUC